AUUGAACGCUGGCGGCAGGCCUAACACAUGCAAGUCGAGCGAGUGGCGGAAGGGUGAGUAAUGUCUGGGAAACUGCCUGAUGGAGGGGGAUAACUACUGGAAACGGUAGCUAAUACCGCAUACCAUCAGAUGUGCCCAGAUGGGAUUAGCUAGUAGGUGGGGUAACGGCUCACCUAGGCGACGAUCCCUAGCUGGUCUGAGAGGAUGACCAGCCACACUGGAACGGUGACACGGUCCCACAUCCCACGGGAGGCAGCAGGGGGGAAAAUAGCACAAUGGGCGCAAGGCUGAUGGAGCCAUGCCGCGGGUGUUGAGAAGGCCUUCGGUGUGUAAAGGUGUUUCAGCGGGGAGGCGGUACCCGCAGAAGAAGCACCGGCUAACUCCGUGCCAGCAGCCGCGGUAAUAC
rnacentral:rRNA from 1 species